UGCAUGGCUGUCGUCAGCUCGUGUCGUGAGAUGUUCGGUUAAGUCCGGCAACGAGCGCAACCCACAUCUUCAGUUGCCAUCAGUUCGGCUGGGCACUCUGGAGAAACUGCCCGUGAUAAGCGGGAGGAAGGUGUGGAUGACGUCAAGUCCUCAUGGCCCUUACGGGUUGGGCUACACACGUGCUACAAUGGUAGUGACAAUGGGUUAAUCCCAAAAAGCUAUCUCAGUUCGGAUUGGGGUCUGCAACUCGACCCCAUGAAGUCGGAAUCGCUAGUAAUCGCGUAACAGCAUGACGCGGUGAAUACGUUCCCGGGCCUUGUACACACCGCCCGUCACACCAUGGGAG
rnacentral:rRNA from 1 species